rnacentral:lncRNA from 1 species
UCCUACUGGUGCUGCCACCGCCAAGGUACUUGGGCCAUAUAUGUUUCAAAUAGGAAUAGAACAAGGAGGCAGUUGAUCAUAAGAUCUGAAGGGAAGUUUGCCUCCAUCCAAAAAUAUCCUCCAUUCACCAUAAUAGGGUCAAAAAUUCCUUUGGAUUUUGAAAUUUUGAGUCCCCAGAAUGAUCAAUUAUUGUGCAAUGUCCCCUGGCCAAGAGUUGUGUUUUCCCAAAUGUGUUUCAUAAAACCAUUGAUGAUCUCCUAAGUAGUAAAUUUUGGAGAAAAAAUAAAGCAAGAAAUGAUUUUAUCCUCAUAGAUCUCAAACACUUGGAACUGGCAAUUUGAAUAGAACUAGUGCUGCCCCCUUAAUAAUUGUGUUCUUUUUUUUUAAAGAUAAUCUUGUUCUUAAAGCUUCCACAUGGGCUCCGAGGACUGCAAGGGCUCUUGUUUAACAUUCAGG